rnacentral:rRNA from 1 species
GCAAGUCGAACGAACCUUCGGGUGAGUGGCGCACGGGUGCGUAACGCGUGGGAAUAUACCCUUGACUACGGAACAACGUCUGGAAACGGACGCUAAUACCGUAUAAUGACUCCGGUCCAAAGAUUUAUCGGUCAAGGAUUAGCCCGCGUUUGAUUAGAUUGUUGGUGAGGUAACGGCUCACCAAGUCGAUGAUCAAUAGCUGGUCUGAGAGGAUGAUC